AACCAGCUCUUCAAGUGGUCGGGAUGAUUAUUGGGCUUAAAGUGUCCGUAGCCGGUUUAGUAAGUUCCUGGUAAAAUCAGGUAGCUUAACUAUCUGUAUGCUAGGAAUACUACUAUACUAGAGGGCGGGAGAGGUCUGAGGUACUAUAGGGGUAGGGGUGAAAUCUUAUAAUCCUUGUAGGACCACCAGUGGCGAAGGCGUCAGACUGGAACGUGCCUGACGGUGAGGGACGAAAGCCAGGGGAGCGAACCGGAUUAGAUACCCGGGUAGUCCUGGCCGUAAACGAUGCAUACUAGGUGAUGGCCCGGCCAUGAGCCGUGUCAGUGCCGUAGGGAAGCCGUUAAGUGUGCCGCCUGGGAAGUACGGUCGCAAGGCUAAAACUUAAAGGAAUUGGCGGGGGAGCACCACAAGGGGUGAAGCCUGCGGUUC
rnacentral:rRNA from 1 species